UACGGGGGGUGCGAGCGUUGUCCGGAAUCACUGGGCGUAAAGGGCGCGUAGGUGGUUUGAUAAGGGUGUGGUGAAAGUCCGGAGCUCAACUCCGGAUCUGCCGUGCCGACUGUCAAACUCGAGGGCUGUAGAGGCAGACGGAAUUCCGGGUGUAGCGGUGGAAUGCGUAGAGAUCCGGAGGAAGACCGGUGGCGAAGGCGGUCUGCUGAGCAGUUUCUGACACUGAGGCGCGACAGCGUGGGGAGCAAACAGG
rnacentral:rRNA from 1 species